UGCGUUUAGCACAUUAAAAAAAAGUUUAUUUUGUUUACAGGUAAAACAAUUGGGAGAUAUGAAGAGUGCACUUUUGUUUGUUUGAAGACAGACAGGUCAAAUACAAUACUAGACUGUGCUUGGUUUAAAAAGCUGUGUAAACUAGUUUAUGGAUAAGGUAGAGACUGUAAAAAGCCUUUUCAGAAAUUAUGACAAAAAAAAUUCUGAAAUGCUAGUGAAAUUAUUAAAAGGCACUGAUGAUCAUCUCACAAGAUAGCUGUCAUUGUGUAAUAACUAACCUCAUAAUAGGGGCACUACCAGCCAAACAAACUGCCCUUCAGCAGGUGGUGAAAGAAAUAAUGCAUAAAAUGCUAUCCAGUUGCACAGUGGUGCUAAAAGCCUUUUUACACUGUUUCAGGGGAUUAUCUUUUACCAAUAUGUGACAACUAUUUGUGGCUUAUCUUGCAUCCCUAUGAAUGCCACUUGAGGUUAAGAAGCUGUCAAGGUAUUUAAUAAAUCAGAAGUUACAAUCUCUACUUUACUAACCACCAGAGGAAAGAAGAGUGCUAUCUAGAGUUGUUGGGGAAACAGAGGCCUGUUAUCAGGAGAGUGAACUGCAGCUUGCAGGUUCCUUCCAGUGACAGUCAGUUAGGAUGUGAGUGGUGCCUCCUGGUGUGUCACUCAGGAAGCAGGCAAGAGAGCUACAGGAGAAGAUGGCAAGGCUCUGAAGCAUCCCCCACCAUGAGGUCUUCAUCAAUUCAAUGCUAGAGGAGACCUCUAAGACUGCAGAGGAAGGACUGCCAGAGGCAAUACUGGAGAAGAAAGAAGGCAUGGACUCCCAAGCAGGUAGAAGCUGGUAGCUUGUGACCUCUGGCAGCAAGCAGAAGUCUUUAUCUGCACCUGCAGGCUGGAGAACAGAUAGAGCCCUAGCAACAGAGGAGGAGCAUGUUCCAUUGGUGGAGGAGGCCAGGCCAGGCACCCCCAAGAUUGGGAGGAUCAACGCUACUGCCACCAAAAGGAAGCAAUGGGUGGUCAUGGAUGGAGACUCCAUUCUGUAGGCAUUUGUCUGCCAGCCUGACCUGUUGUCUGUUUGUCAGGAGGUCUGUUUCUUGUCUAAAGCCCAGAUCCAAGAUGUCACAGAAGAAUUACUGAGACUCACCCAUCUCUCUAACUGACAGAGGUGACCCUGAGCAGAUCAAAAGUGACUACAGGGCUCUGGGUAAAAGGGUAAAGGAGAUAAGGGCUUAGUUGGUGUUCUCCUUCAUCUUUCCAGUCAAGAAAAAGGGCCUGGGUAGGAGCGGACACAUCCUAUAGAUCCAUGCAUGGCUGCACAGGAUUGAUUUUGAUUCAGGACCAAGUGAAUUUUAGCACCUCAGAAUCUUAGAAGUGUGGCUGGAUGUUUGAGGAACAAACCGAGAUGGAGCAUUCCUCAGAGUAGGGAGCAAGCUGGGAAAGACCCAGGCACAGCUGCCUACACAUGUGCUUGGGGGCGGGAGUGUUUUAAUUAAGGCAGUUACCAGGGCAGUUAUUAUCUAAUCAAAAUGAUGCAGCAUCACAUGUAUUAAGCCCCUGUGUUUGAAAAUGGCCAUAGGACGCUUUUGCUAUAGCUCAUUAGAUGAGCUUUCGUUAAAGCACCCCAGUGACCAUUUUUAAACUCUCAGGGGCUUAUAUAUGUGACGCUGAAGUGUUCUUAUUAGAAAGCGGAGCAGACUCAAAUAAUUGAUUCAUCAAGUCUGCUUCAACAUGUUCUAAUUAGAAUGUGUUGGAGCAUGUAUGUAGGCACCCAUAGAGUCCAUUACAGUAAAGUCUAUGAGAGGGCAUUAAAAAAACAGUUCUCAGAACUUGCAUUUCAAACUGGCCCAAGGUGGUAGAGGAACGUGAAGAAGCACCUGGAAGUAAAGUAGUAAGGAGAGAGAAUGUGAGCUUUACUGGCUGCACUCAGAAACAAGACAAAGAAGCCCAAAAUGUUGUGAGAAUCUUGCCUUGUGGACAAAGCUGCAAGACAUUUGCUAAAUUAAUUAUCUGUUAGUAGAAGGAAGAGGGAAGGCAUACAGUCCAGGGAGCCUUUACAGCAGGUAUACAGUCUUUUCUUGUUACAAGUUCCAAAGGAUUCUAAUGAACAUUGCUGCUGUUAGAGUUGGAAAAGGGCACAUAUAUGAGGGCAUAAGAUUCCACUGCAUUCCCCCAGAAUGGAUGAGUUCCCAUUCUUUUCCCAGGCUCCCACCUCUGCCUCUCCAGCACAAGCAGCUGCAGACCCUUAAAAAGUGAAAGAGAACAGGGAAUAAGGAUACCUUGAGCAACAUAACAAUGAUUGGGAUCUUCAGAGGACUCAACUUCACUGCCAUGCCAAUUGAAUGAACAGUCAAGUUCUCCAGUUGUCCACUUGUGUUUUUGUCCCCACCACGUGACAUGCGCACCAAUCAUGGAGGCAGAGAUUAUUAAAAACUAGGGGUGCACCGACAAAGAUUUUUUGGGCUAAUUCUGAUGGCCGGCUGUUGACCAGCUAUCUCGACCGAUACCAAUCUGAUUGCCGAUAUGCAGCCCAGCAGCUUGGAGAGAAGCAUCCGGUUGAGUUCAAUGUCAGUCAUACAAGAGGAGUUGGCGAUGGAUUGACAAAACACAACUCUGCAUGAACAGAAUGAGGGCAUGCAUCAGAUUGGAUUGAGGAGGCUGUUCCAGUCCUAGUGAGGCAUGAUAAUAAAAGGUCACAACCUCGCUUCACCAACACAUGUUGAAGUUCUGGUGGUGAUGUCAUCUUGAACUGGAAAGCUGCUUCCUCCCCAUGCUGCUUCUUUUGUUCUUUGAUGUCGUUGAUAGUUCUCUGAUUGCUGCCUGCUUGGAGACAUAAACUAGAAGAGCUAUGAUUCAUGAUGUCAAGUUGAGGAAGCCCUUGAGUGAACAGAAAAGAGGCGCUAAGACGGUAUGACAUGUUUGCUCCCUGAAGGUGACCAAAUGGUGAACUUGUCAACUACUUACUGCAUAUGCAGGCACCAUUAAAAUGGACAGCGGAUCACAAAUGAAGAGCAGUGACAACAUUUUUGGCCAAAGUCUCCAAAGUCACAUUUUAUUUUUACAGAAAAGAACGGUGGAAUCGGAAGGAUAAACAAGACGAAACAGUCUGCAACAUUUGAAAAAUCCAUCCACAAAGAACAGUACAGUACUCAAUUUAUCACCCUCAAAAUGGAGAACACUGCUGGUAUUUCAACCUGUGGUCAGAUUAUUAUUACCCUGAGGCUUAAACCACAAAGCCAUUAGCAUGUUUUGGUUUGCCCUACAGUUACUUAAUAUGUGCCACUGACCAAGUAGACUGCUGUUACCUUGCAAGCAAGGAGAAUUAACAUAAUAAGGCAGAUUUAGGCCUUAUAUUAAGCAAGCAAUAGACACAGGCUUCCCCUUUGUAUGCACACCAAUUCAAGUCCAGACCAUUAAUAUUAAAGAACAUUCUUACCAGUUAGUCUUUGUAAGAAGCCACCCUGUCCUAUUGUACUAAAUUAGAUGCUUAGGAAAGGAAAAGGAAAAUUACACAAGGCAUCUGAAUACUUUCAUAAUCACUACAGAGAAAAAAUAUAGUCACUUGUCACCUGAGACUGAAAAUUAAUGCAUAAGAAAGCAAAAACAAGACAAAACAAAUACUACCCCCCCAAAAAAAACCUGAACUGAAAUGACAGCACUUCCUUCUGAAAAAUGAUCUCUCUGUAAUGAACUGUGAAAUAUUACUGCUGACACUUCUGAUUGAAGUCAUUUGUAAAAAUGCCUGGGGUUGUUACACAUUUGAAAGCAAGAAUUUAAAUGUGGCAGAUAACAUUACAUUCGGAAGUUGUAGUAUUGAAUGAAAAAAGCCUUAAGUUAUUUGACCAUUUCAGACCUAAAAUCAACAGCCAUUUAAGUAGUGUAAAUGGAGGAGAAUUGUUCUGCUUUGGCCUAUUGGAAGCGUAUGGAAGUUUAAUAAUUUUGAGAUAAGAAAUAAGAAACUUUUUAGCACACUAAUAACACAGAUAAAAUCUUUUCGAUACCAAAAGAGAAGAGGCUGAGAAGAAAUGUAAUGUGGAUUUGGAACUUGGACCUGAAAAUCUCUAAAAAAUUGUGCCACUGCUAAAUGUCCUCAGAGAACACCUAUGCCACACAUGUUCUGGUGCAUGGCACGUUGCCCCAGGUGGGGUAGGGGAGGCUGGGGCCAGAAACUGUGCCGACCCCAGCAGCCUUACCUGGGGUCAGAGGCAGCACUAGGAAGUAGUUUGGCUAUAGCUACCCCAAAAAUUGCCUUACUCACCCCCCACCCCAUAGCCACCCCUCCCAGCGCCGCUUCUGUACAAACUCCCCACCUUGUCCCCCACAAGCCAACACUACCCACCCUGAGCUGCUGAGCCCACCCUGCUUGCACCCAAAGUCCACAGAGAUGCAGUACCCUAAGUGGGCAUUGUUAAAAAAAAUGAAUAAGUAUGUUUGGCCAGAAGAUGUAUAGCACAGCUCUGCCCCCCACCCCCCCUGCAAUUUUCUGUCUAGUCCACCUAAGCCCUCCUGCCCCCCACUGGGAAGAGGCUGGUGCUGCCCCUGCCUGGGGUCCUGGGAGCCUCCAGGAGCUUCAGCUGUGGCACUUCUGCAGCAGGGAGCCUAGCUAGCAGCCAGAGCGUAGCUCCAGCCAGCCAGACUCCAGUUUUGGGCAGCACACACUGCUCCCACCACCCUGCUCUUUUUAGGCAUGGGGUUUUUUUGACCCCGGGAUCUCCUGGAGUCAAAAAAAACUCCCGCACUGCAAAGUAGACUGCAGACAAGUCUGCAGCACCACAUACUGCAUGUCUGUGCUUAUCUGGAUGCACCCCAGCAUUCCACAUCUUAAUCUGUAGUAGGAUUAUACAACUUCUGGCUGGCUAGGGACCACACACAAUGUGGGUUGCAUGCCAUGAAGACUGUACACUGUGCAUGCUCCCCUCAUAUAUGAGCUCUGCCAGCCCAGCUCUACCUACCAUAUGCCUCUCCUGGCUCACAGGCCCCUCAGAUUGCCCAUCACAUAGGCUGCUUGUACAGGCUGAACAGACUCUCUGCCCCCUUCCCAAUUCUGCAGGGCCUGCAUGGACUCCCCAGGCCUCUGUGGGCUGCACUACCCUGCCAGCAGGGGCAGGAUGUGAAAUCUAAAGGAGGGAGGGUGAGCCCAGAGACCCCAGGAGCAGAAGCUGUUGUUGUGGUGGGGAGGACACCUUUCAGGCCACAUGCAGUCUGUGGGACAUGAGUUGAAUGACCCUGGUCACAAGGAAUCCUUUGCUCAGAUGAAUAUCUUUGAUUUCAGUGGGCACAUCUACACCUGCACUUUACUUCAGAGCUAAUUAGCUCCACAAUAAAGUGUCACCAUCUACACAUGUACCCAUAUUAGGGCACAAUAAAUUAAUUAACUCCACUGUAGAACAGUACUUAGUGUCUGGGGCAGGUGCAAACCUACAACAGAGUAGUAAUGUGCUCCAAAUUGCAUACACAGAUGGUGACUGGGGCUGACUAGGGCACUGGGGUGCUACAUUGCAGGGGCUGCCUGCCAUCGAGCCAUGUACUGUAGCACCCUUGUGCCACAGCCAACCCCUCCACAGAACACUGAGCCUAGUUGGAGCAGCUCCAGGCUAACAGGCUGACCCUUUAGGCCGCUGGCUCAACAUGCUGCGAUUCUGAAAGCACAUAUAAAUGCUGCACCUGGUAGCAAUAAAUUCUGGCACGAUAUGUGCCAGAGUUUAUUGCUACAUGCUAAUUGCACAUGUAGAUGCACCCAUUAAGACUAGUUGUGUGAGCAUCCGCAUGGAUGGAUUGCACUAUCUUACCCAAAUGUUCUAUUGCAUAUAAAGAGAUCCAGUGUAGACCAGAUGACAUGAUACUACUUGAAACAGACCUGCUCAACAGUUCAGAUUACAGGUGUAUUGAAAGAUAAAGAGGUCAUAAGGAACUCCUUUUCCCCUACUGUGCAGCAGACAGCCCUAAUUUGGUUGCAAGGCAAUGGAGAAUACAAAAACAGGACAAUCAGAAUUCUCUCAGCCCUAAGAAGUACCUAUGAUCUGAAGCUAUGUGCCAUAACCAAUGCUGUAGAAAAGUGCUGUAUCCAAUGUAUGUUAUACUUGAGCAAUGAACAUACUGACUGGUGCAUGCUUCCUCCUAGCAUCUGCUCUUGAUUUCCAUAGCCAUAAGGCCAGAUCCUAUUCCUUCUAUUAGCUGUCAAAGGGAAUAUCACCACGUAAGUGUAAUCCUGGUCCACCAUGCUCACAUCUC